ACUAAAUUAAUUGUACCUAUACUUUUACGUUGAACACAUUAUAAUUAUUGGAUUUGAUUAAUUAUUUUAUGAAGAUUAUGCAUGUUCAUUUUUAAUUUGUUGGGUUUACACGAAAAUUAAUAAUGUUAUCAGGUAACUUAAUUAAGCAUUCAAGCAGAUUCUUAGUUCCUCAAUAUAUAGUCACAUAUAAGGUUUGUGAUUAAUUGUUUAUAGACACUAACUUGAAAAUGUUUGAUUAUGCAGAAAGGUUGGGUCUACCGCGAGCACCACCAGUCCCCAGGGUACUAUGAUGGACGCUACUGGACUAUGUGGAAACUACCCAUGUUUGGAUGCACUGAGGCAUCUCAGGUGCUGAUUGAGCUCGAGGAGGCGAAGAAAGCUUACCCUAACUCCUUUAUCCGUAUCAUUGGAUUCGACAACACUCGUCAAGUGCAGUGCAUCAGUUUUAUCGCCUCCAAGCCGAAGGGUGUCUAGGUUUCAAGAUUUGAUGAGUCCCUAGCUAUCUGUUAGGGUUGCUUUGUUCAAAUUGUACCUGGGCUCUGGCAAAAAGAUCGUUGCUUUUCCUUUUUUUAUUGGGUUUUUGAAGAUCAAUAUUCUACUUUGUUUUUGCUUUCUGGAUUCGGAUGCUGAAUCGAACGCUGAGACUAGUUGAAUAAAAAGUUGUUUAUUUUUAAUUAGAGAUGAUCCGUGCAUGUGAAACCAUUAAUCUGGUAUGCCUCUUUGCCUUCAGCAUCUUUGAUUGAUGUUUAUACAUAUAUAUAUAGUGUUGAUUUUAAGGCACAAUUAAUGGAGGAAUGGCUCUUUCCUGUGACUUUAAAUUAGUCUAAUUCAAAA
rnacentral:lncRNA from 1 species